AAUCCUGUGACACCAGCACAUCAGAGGGAAGAGGAGAGGCGCUAAUCCCUGAGUGACUGGAGUGUCUACAUCUUCAUCUGCCUUCCUUGAUUUCCACAAAUGCCUUGGUCACAGGGAAACUUCAUGUGAUUCCUCGUCAAGGAUGGAAAGUGGGAUUCUGAGCAAGACUGCAUUGUUGUCUUCUGGCCUGGGAAGUUCUGGAUGAGGAGAAGUUUGAAAUCAAGCUGUCAGCCAGCAGUCCAUGCGCUCUCCGAAUCUCAUGGAGGAAGAAGGAUCAUGGCUUGCAAGCCCCUGGCUUGUGCUCUACAAGAGUCUCUGACAUUCCUUAGGCUGGCAACUAUCCAGGCCCAGUGAUGCUACCAUCUCUGCCCUCUCUCCAGUCCUCAGUGUUAGGGUUA